rnacentral:lncRNA from 1 species
GGAAGCUGUGAUCAAGCCUGCUACCACAUCCUGCUGCCCCACAUUCUGCCGUACCCUCACGGUUCCACUGUGGCUCACCUCCUCCAGGCAGCCCUCCCCAGCAGCAGGCCUCAUCUGCCCCUGACCAAUGAGCCAGCCCACCAAGGGCAUUCCUCCGAUCACUUUGUCGGAGCCUCCCAACCUGCCGGCACGGAAGAGCUGAUGAGGAAACUGAGGUCCAGGACAAGGCCCACCUCCCCCGGCCGCAGGGGGCAGACUCACUGCAGGUGGCCUCAGACUCGUCGGAGCCGUCGGGACACUCCUCCUCACCAUCACACUUCCACCGCUCAGGGAUGCAGUGGCCGUUGCCGCAGGUGAAGUCGCUGUCCGCACACGUCUUCUUGGCUGUCAGGCAAGGAGAAGAGUAUGAGGGGUCAAAGGGGCGCGGGAGGCUUUCCUAAGACAACACAGUCAGGCGAUCAAAGAGUGACCGGAACGUUCUCAAUCUAAAAGCCAGGCCACAUAACCUCCUACAGCACCGUGAGGCUGU